rnacentral:rRNA from 1 species
UACGGAGGGUGCAAGCGUUGCUCGGAAUUACUGGGCGUAAAGGGCUCGUAGGUGGCCAACUAAGUCAGACGUGAAAUCCCCAGGCUCAACUUGGGAACUGCGUCUGAUACUGGAUGGCUUGAAUUCGGGAGAGGAAUGCAGAAUUCCAGGUGUAGCGGUGAAAUGCGUAGAUAUCUGGAGGAAUACCGGUGGCGAAGGCGGCAUUCUGGACCGACAUUGACACUAAAGCGCGAAAGCCAGGGGAGCAAACGGG